rnacentral:rRNA from 1 species
UGGGGAAUUUUGGACAAUGGGCGAAAGCCUGAUCCAGCCAUGCCGCGUGAGUGAAGAAGGCCUUCGGGUUGUAAAGCUCUUUUAGUCGGAAAGAAAGAGCUGCAAUGAAUAAUUGUGAUUUAUGACGGUACCGACAGAAAAAGCACCGGCUAACUACGUGCCAGCAGCCGCGGUAAUACGUAGGGUGCGAGCGUUAAUCGGAAUUACUGGGCGUAAAGGGUGCGCAGGCGGUCUUGCAAGUCAGAUGUGAAAGCCCCGGGCUUAACCUGGGAAUUGCGUUUGAAACUACAAGACUAGAGUGCAGCAGAGGGGAGUGGAAUUCCAUGUGUAGCAGUGAAAUGCGUAGAGAUGUGGAAGAACACCGAUGGCGAAGGCAGCUCCCUGGGUUGACACUGACGCUCAUGCACGAAAGCGUGGGGAGCAAACA